rnacentral:ncRNA from 1 species
CAGCACCCACGCGGGAGCUCGGGGAACCGGGCUGAGAGGGCGGCCGCCGCGCGCCGCCGACCGCUACACACCUGACCUGGGUAAUGCCAGCGUAGGGAGGCCACCAUGAAGAU